rnacentral:lncRNA from 1 species
AUAUGUAUUCAUCAAUCUUUUUAAAACUGUCUCUGUGAUUUUGUUUAUUAUUCAUCUCACUGCUCGCAAAACGGACACAAAAUGUCAGAGAAAUAUUUGCUGUGUUUUCCAAAGGGGAAUUUAGAGAGGGAGUAAAGAAUAAGUUGUGGGGUAGAUAAUACCGAUUUUAAAUGCUGUUGCUAGACAACAGCUGCUGAUUAUGGGAAGUUUCUGAAGUUCUCCAUAUAAGUUGUCUCGUGUAUGAAGUGACCAAUAACUUUAAAAACUUUUGGAUCGUAAAUCUGUCAAGAGACAGAUUGAACUAGAGUAUGUAAAGUAUUUGUAGAUCUUAACAUACAAUGACCUGUGUACUGAAGUUAAUGAUGUUAAUUAGCUAUUGUUAAUUACAAUAACUUCUGUAAUCUCAGAAGCUCACAUUGCACUUGACUCAGCCCCGCUGUCAAUCAAUAUUAUGCUGGUGAAUGAAUAACAUGAGUUAAUGAUUACUGUAAGUAGCACAAAUUCCGUAGUGCCAUUUUUAUAAUAUUUACCCCCGUUGAUUUCCUUAUUAUUAUGGCUUAUUUCUUCAGAAAUUAUCUUUAUCUGUGCAAGAGAAUUCACUCCAACUCAGUCAGCCAUAUAGUUAGUAGAGCUCUGCCAGAUCUGUGGAGCAGAGAGAAAAUGAAUGGGCUGGAAAUGAAGUUAUUAGUGGAGUGGCCUCAUGCCACGGCAGCUUCUCUUUUGUUAAUAUUAAAAAAACGAUUUCUUCACACAGCAUCCAAAAUAGCUACUUAACAAUAUAAAGUGGGGCAUGUUUCUCCAUUCCAUAAAAGUUCCCAGUGGCUUCUUUUCACACACAGACAAAGAAAAAAAAAAUCCACAUUCUUUAAUGUCUAGCCAAAGUGAUCCUGGCUCUUUCUUUUGAUUCCAUAUGCAGCCUAUGUCUUACCUGACUGAUCGCAGUCAUAGGAACCUUGAUCUUGGGAGAGGCUCAGAUCACCCUGUGCUUGAAAUGUUCUGCCUCCUUCUACAUUGCUCCUUCGGUGGAUUCUGACUCAUAUCUUUUCAUGGUUGUGGCUGAAUCAUGCUCUCCUCCGACAUCUAUCUUCCUUGAUUCAUCUUUCCUCCCACCCAAUCACACGUCUGCUCCAUUUUCUACCCAUCACCAGCAGAGAUUAUCAACACACUUGUUGGUUUGCUUACCCCUUUCUGCAUUUCCCAUGACAGUGCAAAUUUCAUGAUGACAGGGACUUGGACUCAUCAUUGUGGCCCAACUCCCAUCACUAUUUGUUAAAACAAACAAAGAUAAUAGAUGUAGAAUCUGAAUUGUAGCAAGAGGCAGCAGAAACAGUCAAGAGAUUUAAAAGAUUGCCCUGUACGUCUGAAGAGGUUUCUAUAGAGCAAGAAAAGUUUGAUUCCACCCUAAAAGAUCCAGUGGAAUUUGGAGGAUGGAAAAAGCGCCUUUUAAUGAGACUUCCUGGAAUGGCUGCUGUCCAGACAUAUCACAAGUGAUAAGGUGAAUUAAAGUGUGGUUACCAGAUGAGCCACCAAUUGUUGAAGUUGUCCUAUAUACUACUGGUGGUGGAAAUACUAUCAUGAUUGGAUUUAAUACCAUGAGAUGUUACUUCUUGGCAAUAGGGUAUGAAUUAUGUCCUAGAAAAGGGGUACCCUUGAAGUUCUACUACUGAAGAUAAACAUGAAAAGGGUCAUGAGAAAAAUCACCUUUUAUGCCACAAAACCCUUCUGAUCAUUUCAAUGUCCUCC